rnacentral:rRNA from 1 species
AGCAGCCGCCGCGGGAAUACGGAGGGUGCAAGCGUUAAUCGGAAUUACUGGGCGUAAAGCGCACGCAGGCGGUUUGUUAAGUCAGAUGUGAAAUCCCCGAGCUUAACUUGGGAACUGCAUUUGAAACUGGCAAGCUAGAGUCUUGUAGAGGGGGGUAGAAUUCCAGGUGUAGCGGUGAAAUGCGUAGAGAUCUGGAGGAAUACCGGUGGCGAAGGCGGCCCCCUGGACAAAGACUGACGCUCAGGUGCGAAAGCGUGGGGAGCAAACAGGAUUAGAUACCCCUGUAGUCCCUGUCUCUUAUAC